rnacentral:rRNA from 1 species
AUUGAACGCUGGCGGCAGGCCUAACACAUGCCAGUCGAGCGGAUGAAGGGAGCUUGCUCCUGGAUUCAGCGGCGGACGGGUGAGUAAUGCCUAGGAAUCUGCCUGGUAGUGGGGGAUAACGUCCGGAAACGGGCGCUAAUACCGCAUACGUCCUGAGGGAGAAAGUGGGGGAUCUUCGGACCUCACGCUAUCAGAUGAGCCUAGGUCGGAUUAGCUAGUUGGUGGGGUAAAGGCCUACCAAGGCGACGAUCCGUAACUGGUCUGAGAGGAUGACCAGUCACACUGGAACUGAGACACGGUCCAGACUCCUACGGGAGGCAGCAGUGGGGAAUAUUGGACAAUGGGCGAAAGCCUGAUCCAGCCAUGCCGCGUGUGUGAAGAAGGUCUUCGGAUUGUAAAGCACUUUAAGUUGGGAGGAAGGGCAGUAAGUUAAUACCUUGCUGUUUUGACGUUACCAGCAGAAUAAGCACCGGCUAACUUCGUG